rnacentral:lncRNA from 1 species
UCCUACUGCAGGGCCAUGAGCGGUCCAUUACGCAGAUUAAGUAUAACCGCGAAGGAGACCUCCUCUUUACUGUGGCCAAGGACCCUAUCGUCAAUGUAUGGUACUCUGUGAAUGGUGAGAGGCUGGGCACCUACAUGGGCCAUACCGGAGCUGUGUGGUGUGUGGACGCUGACUGGGACACCAAGCAUGUCCUCACUGGCUCAGCUGACAACAGCUGUCGUCUCUGGGACUGUGAAACAGAAUGUCCUCCCUGCAAUUGCAAUGGAUGGUGUAGCCCAGACUUUGCCUGACUCCAGGAAAGCAGCUGGCCCUUCUCAAGACCAAUUCGGCUGUCCGGACCUGCGGUUUUGACUUUGGGGGCAACAUCAUCAUGUUCUCCACGGACAAGCAGAUGGGCUACCAGUGCUUUGUGAGCUUUUUU